AUACGGAGGAUCCGAGCGUUAUCCGGAUUUAUUGGGUUUAAAGGGAGCGUAGGUGGGAUAUUAAGUCAGCUGUGAAAGUUUGGGGCUCAACCUUAAAAUUGCAGUUGAUACUGGUUUCCUUGAGUACGGUAUAGGUGGGCGGAAUUCGUGGUGUAGCGGUGAAAUGCUUAGAUAUCACGAAGAACUCCGAUCGCGAAGGCAGCUCACCGGGCCGGAACUGACACUGAUGCUCGAAAGUGCGGGUAUCAAACAGGAUUAGAUACCCUGGUAGUCCGCACAGUAAACGAUGAAUACUCGCUGUUUGCGAUACAUUGUAAGCGGCCAAGCGAAAGCGUUAAGUAUUCCACCUGGGGAGUACGCCGGCAACGGUGAAACUCAAAGGAAUUGGCGGGG
rnacentral:rRNA from 1 species